rnacentral:lncRNA from 1 species
UUCAUUGCUUCAAUGACUGUAAGACCAAAUGCUUCAUACAAAGCUGGCUGCACAAAAGCUCCUUUUGAAUCUGCUACUGUGCGAUAGAGUUCGCUAUUCCUGUAUCUGUCAGUCUGAGCUGCUAUCCAUCUAAUCUGCCCCUUAAGCUGGUAUUUCUCUAUCAGCAUAUGCAUCUUUUUUAUUUCAGCUGCUUCUUCUCUAUCCUUGGAUUUUGUAGGAUCAAAGGAACCACCAACCACAACAAGGUUAACUAAGCUUCUGAGCCUCUUGUUCUUGCCAUACCAUUCAGCUAGGCCAGUUGUGUUCUUCACUGUGUCCAGCCUCGCCAUGGUGAAGAGAAUAGGUUUCUUUCUGUCUUCUAAAUAUCCACUGUGCUUGAAACAACUAAUAUAUUAAUCCAUAGAACUGUAGGAUGUUCUUAUUGGCACUAAGCUGAAGUUUAAACACUUAAAAGACUUACAUGUGCUCGUCAUUAUCCACUUUACUAAAAAGAAGUUCCUCAAUGGCAGGGCGGAAGUUGGUCAAGCGCUUCUGCUUUUCUGUGUAAGGAAAGUACACCGACUGGUCUGCCCCAGGAGCAGCAAUGUUAAAUUUAGGAUCAAAGACACUGAUGCCUGAAACAACUCUAAAAAGCCCUGGAAGGGUAAAUGCACUAUGGCUUUCAUACUGCCCUGGCCUGUCUUUGCUGCAAAUGUUAGCACAUAAGAAUGAGAUCCAUGUUUCAAAAUUUUUGAGCAAAUACAUUGCUGGUAUGAUGAUAUUGAAGAGCAACCUCUCUGCUUUGUAGCUCUAGUUCUUACCUUCCAGCUAUUUCUUGAUAUGUGCUUGUAAUGACAAAAUCUGCUGAAUUCAUUGCAAUCAAAUCAGCUGUGAAUUGGCAUGAGAAGUGGUACUUUGGGUCAAGUUCCUUCAAUUUGAUGUCAGAAUCUUCAUAUUUAGUCUUCUCCAGAGCAUGAGCAAUUGUUCCCUGCGAAGAGAUGGUAUUGGUCAGUGGACAUUAAGACACUAACUUAUGGAAGAAACAGUGUCGAAUGUGAUUAGAUAGCUUACCAGAGUUAUCCCAAGUUUUCUAGCCAUUAAUGAUGCCACUAAAUUCCCAUCGGUGUAGUUACCAAUGAUUAGAUCAGGCUUGCCUUCCAUUAGCUCGAUGAUUUUGUCAGAAGCAUCCUUUAGACAAGGCAAAAAAAUGUAAUUUAGGAAAAAACCCUCUGUGGGCGAGCAGGUUGAUAUAAAGAAGCACACCUGAGUAUAUCUCUCCAGAUACGGGUAGAUAUCGAAUCGAGAAACCCAUUGAUUAAGCACUCCUUUUUCUGUCCUAAAUGGAAUUCUGAGGAUGUGCGAAUGUUUUGUAUUCUUGAUUGGUUCUAGUUCCUGGUUACACUUUGUUCCUUUUGCAUCUGGGAUUAGCCGGGUUACCUGUACAGUCAAGAUAUGAUAUUAACUUUUCUAAACAACCUUAAUUGCGUAGCCCAUGUCGAUUGUCUAGGAACUUGUUGAAGAUAUGUCUCAUAAAUAAAGUAGGAGUAGAUAAUUUUAGUAGUUUUAAAUUAUUAGAGUCACACUUGGGAAUUAGUUAUCCCUUUGUUAUUUGAAUUAGAGAUUAGUUAUCUAAUUUAAAUUGAAGUAUAGUUAGAAAUUUAGCUAUAAAUGUUAUUAAUAUAAUUCCCUUUGACAAAAUACAAUUGCAGUAUUUUCUCCUCUCCAACUCUUUCUCUGUUAUUUCUCUAAUUUCAAAGCUAAAAAUCAACAAUUGGUAUCAAGAGUCAAUUUUCUUGAGGGAUCUGUGAGAGAUGAAUUCUGAAAACAAUUUUUCCCAUAUAGCUCCUCUUGUCUUUGAUGGUGAGAAUUACCAUCUUUGGGCAGUAAGAAUGGAAACUUAUCUUGAGUCUUUAGAUCUUUGGAAGGUCAUGGAGGAGGAUUAUAUGGUCUUCCGCUGCCCGAUCGUGGCCCAGAUCAAAAGUCUAAAGGAAAAGAAAAUCAGAAAAGCAAAAGCAAAAGCAACUUUGUGUGCUAGUGUUUCUCCAAUAAUUUUCAGGAGAAUUAUGGCCUUUAAAUCAGCAAAAGAAAUUUGGGAUUAUCUGAUGAAAGAAUACGAGUCAUGAAAGUGUUGAAUCUAAGAAGGGAAUUCGAAUUGCAAAAGAUGAGACCGUCAAAGAGUACUUAGACCGACUUCUUAGCAUUGUUAACAAGGUUAGAUUGCUUGGCACAAAAUUUAAAGAUUCAAGCAUUGUUGAAAAAAUUCUUGUCACUGCGCCUAAAAGAUACGAAGUAUCAAUAAUUACCUUGGAAAACACAAAAGACCUAUCCAAGAUUGCCUUGGCAGAAUUGUUAAAUGCAUUGCAGGCGCAAAAGCAAAGGAGGCUUAUGAGGCAGGAUGGUAUGGUUGAAGGAGCUUUGGUAGCCAGCCACAAGACUCAAAGCUAGGGUAAUAAUUCAAGAAAAAAUUGUCCACCUUGCCAGCACUGUGGCAAAAUAGGUUAUCCUCCAUUUAAAUGUUGGAAGAGACCAGAUGCACAAUGCAAGAUAUGCAAUCAACUUGGUCAUGAAGCCGUGAUUUGCAAAAACAAAUAUAAAAAACAUGAAGCAAAUGCCCAAGUCAUCAAAGAAAAGAAGAUCACUUAUUUGUGGCAACAUAUUCUUUAAUCAAAAAAAAUUUGAUUUUUUGGAUGAUUGAUAGUGGUUGUACAAACCACAUGACAUAUGACAACUUUUUAAAAGAGUUUCCGCCUUUGGAAAAUAAGAAAGUCAGAUUUGAGAAUGGUGACUAUAUUCCUGCAGAAGGAAAAAGGAUGUUGCAAUAAAAACAGUUUUAGGUACAAAAAUAAUUUCAAAUGUUCUUUACGUGUCCGAUAUUGAUAAAAGUUUGUUAAGUGUUGGCCAGCUAAUGAAAAAAGGAUUUAAAUUACUAUUUGGAGACAAAUAUUGUUGAAUCUUUGAUUUCACUAAUCAUGAGAUUUUACAAGUUGAUAUGAGAUUCAAAAGUUUCUUAUGUGAUCCAACAAAAAAUGAAAACAAGCCAUGCAAGAAUAAAGAUGAAUUGACAGAUUUAUUCAAGAGGUCAAAUUCAGCCGAAGCCGAGACAAUUUUUUAUCCAAGGAGGAGUGUUGAAGAUAUGUCUUAGAAAUAAAGUAGGAGCAGAUAAUUUUAGUAGUUUUAAAUUAUUAGAGUCCUAUGCAACUUAGGAAUUAGUUAUCCCUUUGUUAUUUGAAUUAGAAAUUAGUUAUCUUAUUUAAAUUGAAGUAUAGUUAGAAAUUUAGCUAUAAAUAUAUGUUUUGAGUUAUUAAUAAUAUAAUUCCCUUUGACAAUACUAUUGCAAUAUUUUUUUCUCUCCAAGUCUCUCUAUUCUCUUUAAUUUCAAAGCUAAAAACCAGCAGAACUUACCACAAGAAUCUGAGGCUUAGCAUUGAGACCCUGCUGUUUAAUUCUUUGUAGCAUUUCUUCCUCAAAAGCUACAACUUGAUCCAAAACAUAAACCACCUGUUGAUCAAGAACAUAACUGAUUAACCUUGCUCUGAGAAGCACUGAUGUACUUGACACAAAGAGUAAUAAUUUUAACUUGAACACUAUGAUAAGUGUUAAGAAUACUGUAUUGUAAUAUGGAGGUUACAUAUGAUUGAUUUUCUUUUUAUGUUACUUGAUAGUUUGAAUUUUCUUUUACACUGUCAGAAUAUAGAAGUAAGCUGUUAGAUGGAUGCUUACCUGACCAC